UACGUAGGGAGCAAGCGUUGUCCGGAAUCAUUGGGCGUAAAGGGCUCGUAGGCGGUUUGUCGCGUCGGGAGUGAAAUCCACUGGCUUAACUGGUGGCUUGCUUUCGAUACGGGCAGACUGGAGGUAUGCAGGGGAGAACGGAAUUCCUGGUGUAGCGGUGAAAUGCGCAGAUAUCAGGAGGAACACCGGUGGCGAAGGCGGUUCUCUGGGCAUGUCCUGACGCUGAGGAGCGAAAGUGUGGGGAGCGAACAGG
rnacentral:rRNA from 1 species